rnacentral:tRNA from 2 species
UCCUCUGUAGUUCAGUCGGUAGAACGGCAGACUGUUAAUCCGUAUGUCACUGGUUCGAGUCCAGUCAGAGGAGCCA